AAUCAAUGCGAAGGAUUGUUUCAACCAUGUGUAUUCACAAUUCCAUGUGGUCAUGGACGUGUUCGAGGAGUUCCACUAUGGAGGAUACCCCAUAGGUAGGCUUUACCAGACAGGUAGAAGAGGUGGAAAAUCUCAACCGAGCAGACACGGUGCUGUGAUGAAACGCAAGAAAAUGGUAUCGCUAACUGGUCGCUAUCGCAAUAGAUAUGAAGUACGCACUUCAUUGAACCAAGUAGAGGAUAGUGUGGCAGCUAUGUCAAUCGCUUGGAGUGCCAUAAGAUAGUUGUCCAAUUGAUGCUGGUAAUCAGCUAUAAGACCAGACGCGAGUACGAGUAGCCCAAACUUGGAUAUAUUAGAAGAUUAAUAUGCUGAAUGGUGGGUGGAAGUUGUUGGUAGCCAAUCCAGCCAUAGAUUGACGCAAGUUGGGAUGGAAAGAUACGAGGUCGCUCCUUGUGUCUCAGCUCCAUCUCCUAUGUGACCGAAUUACCACUACGUUUUAUGAAGGUAAGGCGAAGGCCUGAGACAAUCUUUCGCGUUGG
rnacentral:sRNA from 12 species